AUAGUACAAAUAAUGAAAAACCCUGGAAUGAGUAGGUGUCCAAACUUUUGACAGGUACUGUAUAUGGCCCAAUAACACGAGGGGAAGGAGGGGGAGUGUCCAGUAAUUUAUUAAUUGUAAAUCCAUAGGAGACUGUUUCAGAAAUAGGCCCACACAUACAAUUAGGCUGUGUUUAGACAGUCAAACCAAUUUGAUUUUUUUCCACUAAUUGGUAUUUUGACCAAUCACAUCAGUUCUUUUUCAGAGCUGGUAUGAUUGGUCAAAAGACCAAUUAGUGAGAAGAAAAAAAAGAUCAGCAUUGGGCUGCUUCUCUAAAUGCAGCCUUGGUUUCUCACUGUGGAGGAGAAUUAUCCAAUUCCAUCUAGGAUAUGUUGAGAGGCUUGGUGAUUAUCAAGGCCGGGAGAGUGUUGGAAAGAAUGUUCAAAUACUGUGAGGAACUAUAUUAAUUGCAAUGGAGUGUGGCAGGUUGUGAACUCUGCAAACAACGUUUCCACUCCAAUAAUGAGAGAAAUUGGUAUGGACUACAUUAGGGAUGGCCAACUGGUGGCCCGCGGUUUUGAAGGCCCUUGGAUCAAUUCUCUACCUCAAAACAGAGGCACCAUUCGGACCGGGGACCCCUUGACAUCCACCUUGGUGCUGCUGUUCGCCUGCUGUGGGAAAAAGACAUCACAACGCUCUCUAUAGCCCUUCUAAAGGAAAGUACAUGUUUAGAAAGUGCGAGUGUGACACCAAUUGUUGGCCAGUACAUGCUCUAAUUGUAUGUUUUGUGUCCCCUACAACUACAGACACAGGGGUCAUGCCUGACGCAGCUGUGAGAGGCUACACCCAGCGCUAAAACCCAGCAGGCCCAGCAUAGAGUGAGAGAUAGCCCUGCAAGUAGCCACCAAAUCUGCUAUUGAUGACUGAACCAGUCAUUGACUACCGGACUAGCUAUUGAUUAACGACCCAUGCUUGGGAGGAAGAGCCGAACCCUGUUUGGGUAGAGCCAAACAAACAAAACCUGCCUGGGUAGAGCCGAACAAACAUAUGCCAACGCUCUGUAAGUGAAUCAACUGCUGUGUUAGUUUCCUCGUUGGUCAUUGUUAGCCUAUAGCCCUAAAUCCUAGCUCCUUUAUACAUUGUGAUACUGUGUAUUGUCAUUGUUGUAAAAGCUGAAUUUAUAAUA